rnacentral:rRNA from 1 species
AGCAGCCGCGGUAAUUCCAGCUCCAAUAGCGUAUAUUAAAGUUGUUGCAGUUAAAAAGCUCGUAGUUGAAUUUCGGGGUUAGUAGGUUGGUCAUGCCUCUGGUAUGUACUGGUCUCACUGAUUCCUCCUUCCUGAUGAGCCGUAAUGCCAUUAAUUUGGUGUUGCAGGGAAUCUGGACUGUUACUUUGAAAAAAUUAGAGUGUUUAAAGCAGGCUAACGCUUGAAUACAUUAGCAUGGAAUAAUGAAAUAGGACGUUCGAUCCUAUUUUGUUGGUUUCUAGGAUUGACGUAAUGAUUAAUAGGGAUAGUUGGGGGCAUUAGUAUUCAAUUGUCAGAGGUGAAAUUCUUGGAUUUAUUGAAGACUAACUACUGCGAAAGCAUUUGCCAAGGAUGUUUUCAUUAAUCAAGAACGAAAGUUAGGGGAUCGAAGACGAUCAGAUACCGUCGUAG